rnacentral:rRNA from 1 species
UGAGGAAUAUUGGGCAAUGCCCGCAAGGGUGACCCAGCAACGCCGCGUGGAGGAUGAAUGUCGUAAGAUUGUAAACUCCUGUUAGAGGGGAAGAAUAGUACCGGUUGGACCGGUAUAUGACUGUACCCUCAGAGAAAGCUCCGGCUAACUACGUGCCAGCAGCCGCGGUAAUACGUAGGGGGCAAGCGUUGUCCGGAUUUACUGGGUGUAAAGGGCGCGCAGGCGGGAUAAAAAGUCAGUGGUGAAAUCCUACAGCUUAACUGUAGAACUGCCUGUGAUACUUUUAGUCUUGAGUUCGGGAGAGAGAGACGGAAUUCCAGGUGUAGUGGUGAAAUACGUAGAUAUCUGGAAGAACACCAGUUGCGAAGGCGGUCUCUUGGUCCGACACUGACGCUGAGGCGCGAAAGCGUGGGGAGCAAAC